rnacentral:lncRNA from 1 species
CAAAAAUCAGAAAGUCCAUCCGUCACUUGCAGAGAUUCACAAAGCAGAGGGCAUGCCUUCCAGCCAGGACAAUCCUAAGGCUUCCGUGUGUGAAGAAGCAAACCCUAAAGACUAAAAGGAAGCAGAACCCUGCGAUGCAGGAGGGGUAAGGCAGAAACACUCACUCCUCGGGCAGCUCAGGGGUGUCCUGGGAACAUAUAGGCUCUUCCUUCAGCAUAAUCUAGAAGGGUGGAUUUAGAUGUAAGAUUUUUAAAGAUCCCUCUGUCCCGAACGGUGUCUGCAUUGGGGUGGGUAGCUUACUCCAUUGGAUCCAGAGCACAGUCUGUCCAGGGACAGUUUCAUGACAGGAAGGAGGGGGGUACUUCCUCUUCAGUUAGCUUAGCGCUUUGCCCUCCUCGUCUCCCUUGGAGUUCCAGGUCAGUAAGGCAGGCUUCGUGAGAACCAUUUUCAGGGCCAGCAAAAUGACUCAGCUGGCAAAGGAACUUGCUUCAAACCUGGUGAGCUGAGUUCAACCCCUAAGGCCCAUUGGAUAGAAAGAGAGACUUGACCCCUGAAAGUUGUCAUCUGGCAACCCCCCCC